rnacentral:rRNA from 1 species
GACGAAGGGGGCUAGCGUUGUUCGGAAUUACUGGGCGUAAAGCGCACGUAGGCGGACAUUUAAGUCAGGGGUGAAAUCCCAGAGCUCAACUCUGGAACUGCCUUUGAUACUGGGUGUCUUGAGUAUGGAAGAGGUGAGUGGAAUUCCGAGUGUAGAGGUGAAAUUCGUAGAUAUUCGGAGGAACACCAGUGGCGAAGGCGGCUCACUGGUCCAUUACUGACGCUGAGGUGCGAAAGCGUGGGGAGCAAACAGG